GCCUGGGAGGACUCUGGUUGCUGGAAUGAGCUGGUCUGUUGGGGGAGGGGGCACUGGAAGCCAAAGGACCCAGAGGGAAGCAGAAACGAGACAGGAGCCAAAUCACAGCCACGGAAAGCCAGCAGAGACCAGUGAGCUGCCAGAGGAGGGGACAGGGCCUGUCACAUGGGACCUGCACAGACCCAUGGGGCCCUGAGAUCAGAAUGGCCCCAGGGCAAUCAACUCCCUGACACAGGCCAGAUGGACAUCCGGGAGAAAUCCAUAGUACUGGAGCUGGUUCAGAGCCCCACGGAAUUAACUCGGAAUAAAACCACGAGAGAAAGAACAUUUUCAUGGGCCCUGCACGGAGCCUCCUGGGCCUGAUGGAGAGGGGCCCCACCCAGAAGAGCACAGGGCUGGCCCCACCCCUGCACCACACAUGCCCUUUAUCAACUGAACACUCCCACAGCCACACGGACAGGAUUCCUUCCAGUCUGUGUCUGUCUGAGCCCAGAAAAAGAGGAAAUACUGAGCUCUAGCUGGAGCUUCAUCCAGCGAUGAUAAAUAAUC
rnacentral:lncRNA from 1 species